GGGCGGGUAACAAAGGGGCUAUGUGGUGGACUGCAGAUCCACUUACGUGGGUUCGAAUCCCACCCCGCCCU
rnacentral:tRNA from 2 species